CGCUAUCACUCCUACGGGGAGGCAGCAGUAGGGAAUCUUCCACAAUGGGCGCAAGCCUGAUGGAGCAACACCGCGUGAGUGAAGAAGGGUUUCGGCUCGUAAAGCUCUGUUGUUUAAAGAAGAACACGUAUGAGAGUAACUGUUCAUACGUUGACGGUAUUUAACCAGAAAGUCACGGCUAACUACGUGCCAGCAGCCGCGGUAAUACGUAGGUGGCAAGCGUUAUCCGGAUUUAUUGGGCGUAAAGAGAGUGCAGGCGGUUUUCUAAGUCUGAUGUGAAAGCCUUCGGCUUAACCGGAGAAGUGCAUCGGAAACUGGAUAACUUGAGUGCAGAAGAGGGUAGUGGAACUCCAUGUGUAGCGGUGGAAUGCGUAGAUAUAUGGAAGAACACCAGUGGCGAAGGCGGCUACCUGGUCUGCAACUGACGCUGAGACUCGAAAGCAUGGGUAGCGAACAGGAUUAGAUACCCUGGUAG
rnacentral:rRNA from 1 species